UGUCGAUUCAGAUUCUGGCAACGAUCGGGGAGAAGAUGGGGGAGAAGAUCGGGAAGACGAGCCUAUUGUUAGUAGGGAUAUAAAUGAGGGAUCUCAACUUGCUUGCAACACCCAGUCGCUAGACAUUGAUAUCACCGGCUUUACUGCAACACAAAGAUAUGGUACACAAGAAGUUGACAUCACCGGGCUGCAUAGUCAACAAAAUGAUGAUGAAAUACAAGUUCAAAGCAAGAAGAAAGGUAUCCCUCAAGGCAAAGAAGACAACAAAGAUGGUGAUGACAAAGAAGAAGACAAAAAAAACACACCACUAGCAAAUUGUGAUGAUGCUAAAGGCAAACAACCAAGGAAAGAUGACGACCAAGAUGAUGAAGGAUAUAGUGGGGCCAACAAUCCCGAAGAGCAAGCUGCAAGCAAUAUAGGGGACGAAAGUGGGAAUGCAAGUCAAAGGUUAACACCUCAAAAUUCU